GGAUUGAACUGGCAACCUUGGUGUUAUGAGCACUGCGCUCUAACCAGCCACCCCCAACACAGGGUCUUCUGAUGUUCUCUACCUUAUUUCAGUGUCUCUGAGAGAUAAGCACAGGGGAAUUUAUGAUUCCUAUUUUACUGACAGGGAAAACCGAGGCCUAGAGAGGUAAAGUGACACUGUUAGUCAGUCUAACUGGAAUUUGCUCUCGGACCUCUGACUCCAAGGGCUAACUUUGUACCUAGAUGGAAUACGGGAGUACAGUUUAAGGGGUCCUGGCAAGCUCUCUCUAAAAUCUCUCUCUGUUGCUGUAAAUCCUGCCAUUGAUGCAUGAUUAUUUUAAGCUGUUACUAUCUUAAGGGUUCACUGUGAUUUAGCUCAAGACCCUUUCCCCUGGCAAUCCCGGGAUGGCCUAGGGGCAUGAGAUGUUUAGGGUUAGGGUUUGGAAAGUAUGCUCUGAAAGAGCAUGCAAAAAGAAUUGCCAGGUCCAAGUACAAAGUCCACCAGCAUCCCAGUUUCUCUAUGUGGGGUUACAGGGUGGGAGGACAAGUGUGACACCUCCAAAUCCUUGCUGCCCUGGAGUCCAGUCAUCACUCAUCCCCCAGGUUACACUGACAGAAAAACUGCAAAUGGCGAGCCAAGAAGGGCCAUAUUUACGUCCUAGCAAUGAGCCUCAGUUUCCUCAUGUCUAAAAUAGAAAUAAGGCUUUCCCUACUUUCUUUCUAGGGUCAUGAGGCCCAGUGAGAAAUCCCACUGUAAAGUGCUGUAUAGCAGAAGGCCACUUGAACACAUUUGUAAAAAUUCCUGUUAACGAUAAAGAGAAAAUCAAAGAUGUCUCCAUGGCAAGAACAUAGUUAAGAGGCACAAAAUGCCAAUAAGAACUGUUCCAUCUAUCAACAAGAGAAGCAGAGACUGCAGAUGGUUACAGGGAAGAUUCCCCGGGGAGAAGGCCCUGAACAUAGCUGGCAAGUGAGACUGAUGCUGGUCGCACUGGGAGGCUACAGGCAGGUCCUGACAAGAACAAAACACUGACUCUGGACUGGGCUUUGGAUACCCGGUGGUACCUGCAAAUGCUCAAUGUGCUGUAAAAGAACUAGAACUGAAGAUGGCACACCAAUUUGGACUCUGAGUCCAUUUUUUCAGACCAAGGAACCCACUUUAUUGCCCAUAAUGUCCAACAAUGGGCAGAGAGCUAUCCUCCUCAGUGUAAUAUAGUUUGAUAGAGAAUUGAAAUGGUCAAUUAAAACAUUGGUUGUCUCAAAGGGGAGGAGAUGCAGGUAUGAAGUACUGGAUUACCUGCCUUCAUGAGUGUGUGCUCACACUCAACAUAAGGGGUGUCAAGGCAGUGUCCCCACUACAUAGAUUCCUCUGCUUUUUUGGUGGAUUUGGGGAAUGGGGUGGGCUGGGGGAGGAUGCUGGUAUGACUGUGUCAUUCUUCCUAUGUGAGGUAAGAUGGUGAUAUGGCUACACUUUUUUUUUCUUUCCCAUAUCACCUCAACUUCUUUUUCCUACCUGAUAUGGUGGUCCCAGGAACAGGGCUACAUCUAUAAGUGUCAAAAGGAUGGAUGAUUUCUAAUGAUGAAACAUGAAAAUUUAAAAUAUACUCAGAAUUCCUAAGGGGCUGAGGAAUAGAGUGAAGAAAUAAAAUGGAGUCAGUAUAGUCAAGCUGCUAAAUUACUAAAAUCAAGUAGGCUGAGGCAUGAGGAAAUGAGCCUAUUGUUGCUUUAACGACCUGGAACUUAAACUUUGGAACUUUCCAGUGUUGCAUCAAUGCCUGGAUAUACAUAAGACCACCAGAUAAUCCUCUGAUUACUCUGUGAAGGACUCACGUUAUCCAGAUCACCUGACGUCAGUUAUCCAGACCAUUGGACAUGACUAGUCCUCCUGGCUCCCAUCGUCCAGACCACCUGACACCUUACUGAUAACCAUCCUGGACCAAUCCUAGGGCUAAGAAUGCAGGAAUGAUUAUUCUCAAGAAUGUACUUUUUAUUAUCAGAACUCUUAACUUUUCUUUCUUCUUCAGGACACUUUUGGGGUUUUGCCUAGCUGUGUUUCUGGUUUGCAACUCCUAAGACCCUUGAAUAAAUCUUUCUCAUUUAUUUCUAGCCAAGGCCUCCAGGCUUUUUGAGUUCAUUGGACAGGCUGGAUGGAACAGGCUGUUCCUUCAUCUGAUCUGGCAAAACUGAGGCUAACAGUGAAUGCAGCUACACUACUUGCCUAGUGGUAGAAAUAGCCACUAGCUCUGUACCCAUGUAACCCUGUCCUAGAUGAAUGAGAGUGAACGGAAAAGAAGGCACUUGCUAGACUAGUAUUGUUGCCUAUGAUCUAGACCAGUACAGUGACCCAACCUAACAUCCCUUCCAAGGGUGGAAAGUUUGGGGUAUAAAUGCAGAGAAAGAGGAAUAGUAGCUGAGGGUAAAGGAAUGAAUGAAUGAGUUCAAUGAGGUAAAUCCAGUAUUACAUUACCACCUCAAAAGAGGCUCAGAGCAAGAGAUGAUAUUGCCUCUUAGCUCAAUUAUACCAGAUACCUGAAAGGGAGAAGCCAUAUACUUCUGAGACCACUGCUGCUUUUGGAUCCUGACAAGAUGGAAUGGAAACCUGCAAAGCUGAUUGACCUUGUCCUGUGACACAUUUUGGUCAUAUGAUAUGAUAAUGGACUAGAAAAUGAUCAGUAACUGAACGGGACUCUGGUAAUGUGCCAAUAUCUUUUUACUCUUAUUUUUCAGGCUACGUCUACCAUAGUGUGAAGAUGAUACAACAUUAGCAUGUUUGACAAAGUAAUAAUACUGAUAGUGAUGGUCAAAUGUGAUGAGGCAGAAAAAUAGUUAACAAAAAGUGAGCCCGAAGGGGAUUAGCAGAAGGUGAUUUGAUCAGUACUUUGCACUGCCUGUCCAGUCCUGGGAACCACCCAGACCUGCAUCCAAUCUCCAGACCACCCAGGCUUAGCCACUAGAGAUAAAUUUUUCUGUCGAAAUACCCCUAGAAAAAGGAGAUAAGAUCCCGACCAGAAUUGUCUGUUUUUUGGCGCCUGUGCAGACUGCUGGAGCCUACCCUUAGCCUGAACUCUGGCCUCAUCAUAAUUAGAAUAAAAUGAACAUUAUGGCUUACCUUUCCCUCCCAUGGGUUUUUCUGUACGCAUUGUGGGUAAGAGCAUGCGCAGAAAGAAACCAGUUAUAUAACCUGCAUCUCUCAAUCAAAUGACCUCAGUCUAUAUGUCAAAUGUUCUAAGUUUGUACAUCACAUCUCUUGCUGUAAGAAAAUUGCCUACACUUUCCUAGAUAAGAAAAGCUAACCUGAAGUGCGGGGCAGCCGUCUUCUAUAGACACUUCCGUGGGCA